UACGUAGGGCGCAAGCGUUAUCCGGAAUUAUUGGGCGUAAAGAGCUCGUAGGCGGUUUGUCGCGUCUGCCGUGAAAGUCCGGGGCUCAACUCCGGAUCUGCGGUGGGUACGGGCAGACUAGAGUGAUGUAGGGGAGACUGGAAUUCCUGGUGUAGCGGUGAAAAUGCGCAGAUAUCAAGAGGAACACCUGAGGUGAAGACGGGUUGCUGGGCUGACACUGACGUGAGGCGCGAAAAGCCCAGGGGGAGCAAAACGGG
rnacentral:rRNA from 1 species